GUCCCCGUGGCCCAAUCGGCAGAGGCGAACGGCUUAAAACCGUUCUUGGUGUGGGUUCGAGUCCCACCGGGGGCA
rnacentral:tRNA from 1 species